CAUACAUGUCUCUUUUCGUGUAUUGCAGUCAUACAUGGAUUCAGAGAUCAUGGCCAUUAUGUCUCAGUACAUGCCACUUGACAAUCACCAAAACAAUGAAGUUCAACAUGAAGCUCAACCCUUGCGGCAUAGUUCAACCGUAUAAGGCUGUGAAGAGAGGAACUUAUAUUUUUAGGGAUGGUGGAUGGCGGAGAAUGUUUAGAUCCAUAGAACGCUUGUAAUACAUGAGGAUUCUGUUCUUUUUUCCGAUUUUAGGUUUCUGUCUACGACUUCUCCGUAUACAAAAGAAGUUGUGUAAAGGAGAAUGCUUAAGAUGUAAAUUUUGGUACCCUAUAAUAUCAUCAUCAAUACAGAUAAUAAUGAUAAAA